GACGAACGCUGGCGGCGUGCCUAAUACAUGCAAGUCGAGCGCAGGAAAUCGACGGAACCCUUCGGGGGGAAGUCGACGGAAUGAGCGGCGGACGGGUGAGUAACACGUAAAGAACCUGCCCUCAGGUCUGGGAUAACCACGAGAAAUCGGGGCUAAUACCGGAUGGGUCAUCGGACCGCAUGGUCCGAGGAUGAAAGGCGCUUCGGCGUCGCCUGGGGAUGGCCUUGCGGUGCAUUAGCUAGUUGGUGGGGUAAUGGCCCACCAAGGCGACAAUGCAUAGCCGACCUGAGGGGGUGAGCGGCCACACUGGGACUGAGACACGGCCCAGACUCCUACGGGAGGCAGCAGUAGGGAAUCUUCCACAAUGGACGAAAGUCUGAUGGAGCAACGCCGCGUGAACGAUGAAGGCCUUCGGGUCGUAAAGUUCUGUUGUAAGGGAAGAACAAGUGCCGCAGGCAAUGGCGGCACCUUGACGGUACCUUGCGAGAAAGCCACGGCUAACUACGUGCCAGCAGCCGCCGUAA
rnacentral:rRNA from 1 species